GGGCCGUUAGCUCAGUUGGUAGAGCGCUUCCAUGGCAUGGAAUAGGUCAGCGGUUCGAAUCCGCUACGGUCCACCA
rnacentral:tRNA from 1 species